UUGGAGGGCAAGUCUGGUGCCAGCAGCCGCGGUAAUUCCAGCUCCAAUAGCGUAUAUUAAAGUUGUUGCAGUUAAAAAGCUCGUAGUUGAAUUUCGGGAUCAAAUUGUUGGUCGUGCUUCGGUACGCACUGGCAUUAUUGGUUCCUACCUUCUGAAGAACCGCGAUGUCAUUAAUUUGGUGUCGUGGGGAAUCAGGACUGUUACUUUGAAAAAAUUAGAGUGUUUAAAGCAGGCGCACGCUUGAAUACAUUAGCAUGGAAUAAUGAAAUAGGACGUUUGAUUCUAUUUUGUUGGUUUCUAGGAUCGACGUAAUGAUUAAUAGGGAUAGUUGGGGGCAUUAGUAUUCAAUUGUCAGAGGUGAAAUUCUUGGAUUUAUUGAAGACUAACUACUGCGAAAGCAUUUGCCAAGGAUGUUUUCAUUAAUCAAGAACGAAAGUUAGGGGAUCGAAGACGAUCAGAUACCGUCGUAGUCUUAACCAUAAACUAUGCCGACUAGGGAUCGGAUGAUGUUAAUUUUUUAAUGACUCAUUCGGCGCCUUACGGGAAACCAAAGUGUUUGGGUUC
rnacentral:rRNA from 1 species